CCACCCAAGAAAGUAUUUUAAGUACUUUGUUUCCAUUAUGCUAUUCUGAGCCCAUUACUUGGUGGGGUGAUUAAAGAUUGCUUUUGGCAAGAGAAGAGAAGACAAAGUGUUUGUUACUUCCAUGACUGUUAGCCUUUUCCAGGCAGCCUUCAAAGGGAAAAACAUAAACAUAUGGGACACAAAAUACAUAUUGGCUUCGUAAUGGGAGCCCUGGAGAAUGUCUGGCCCUUCACCUUUGCCUGGAAUCCGAGUAGCUGUAGCUGGGACAGGCAGCAGAAGGACUCUUUCUAGGGCCUCUCGGAGGCUACCGACUUCUGGGUUCUUCUCUCUUGCUCUUCAUCUGGGUGUGCACUGAUCCUUUCGCUUGGCUCGGAUCUUCCUUGCGAGCUUCCCCAUCCUUUCCAUCGGUAUUUGGACGCGGCCCCGGAGGAGACAGGUGAGGUCUCGACCCUCGUGGGGCUGGAGUCUUCGAGCGUGGCACACAAACAUUAACGAUGCCGCAGGUUAAAAACUUACACAUACACUUAACCAUCCAUCUCAGCAAUUCCGCUCUCAGAUACCAACCCACGAAAAAAUCGUACGCCUGCAAAGUCUUACACUUGGAUGUUCGUAUCUGCAUUAUUCACAAUCGGCAAAAACUGGGAACGACCCAAAUCACCAUCCACAGGUCACCGGAUAUACCGCAGCCCUUCCAUAUAAUGGAAUGCCAUCCAUCAAAAAAAGGAACUCGCCAUCAAUCUAUGCGACAAUGUGAACGGAUCUCAAAAACACAAUGCUGAGCAAAACAAGCUAGACAUAAAGGAGUUCACACUGGAUGAUGCCACUAACUGAAACUCUAGAAAUGACCAAGCGCGUCCACAGUGACAGCAAAUCAGCGGUCGCCCGGGCCCUGACUGUAUAGAUGGAGGGUGUUCUCCUUAUGGGUGCCUGUGUUCCUUUCUCUCUUCUUAUAAGGACACCAGUCGUUGGAUUAAGACCCACCCCAACCCAGUAUGACCUCGCCUUAACUCGAUUACAUCUGCAAAGACCCUACUUCCAAAGAAGAUCACAUUCACAGGUGCCCAGAGGUAACUCCCGGCCUCUGCCUCCUUCCUGAGGGUCUAAUCAGCCACCUGCUUGCCACGAGCUCAUCGCCCACCACAGCAACCCAGCACAUGGGCACAUGGCUGCAAGCCCCUGGAGACGAGCAGAAUUCCCAGACCCGACAAAUGAAAAGGCUUUCCAGGACACGCAAUGCACAACGGCCCAUUAAAAAAAUAAAUAAAGAUAUCUUUCAUUUAA